rnacentral:tRNA from 1 species
GCUCGGUUAGCUCAGCUGGUUAGAGCGUCGUACUAAUAUUUGCUACGCAAGGGUAAAUAUCAAGUAAUGCGAAGGUCAUGAGUUCAAUCCUCAUACUGAGCA